rnacentral:rRNA from 1 species
UACGGAGGGUGCGAGCGUUGUCCGGAAUCAUUGGGCGUAAAGGGCGCGUAGGUGGCCCCUCAAGCGUGCGGUGAAAGUCAGGGGCUCAACCCCUGAUCGGCCGUGCGAACUGGGGAGCUUGAGCACUGUAGAGGCAGGCGGAAUUCCGGGUGUAGCGGUGGAAUGCGUAGAGAUCGGGAGGAACACCCGUGGCGAAAGCACCUGCCUGGGCUUCUAUUGACGCUAAGACUCGAAAGCUGGGGGAGCAAACAGG